GGAAAAUUGAAGAAAAUGCGGGAAAUCAGGGGAAAUAAUCGGGGAAAAUGGGGAAAAAUGGAGGAAAUGGGGGAAAAUGGGGAAAAUAAAGGGGGAAAAAAGGGGAAACUGGGAGGAAUAAUGCGGGAAAAUGGGGAAAUUGGGGGAAAAUGAGGAAAAUAAUGGGGGAAAAUGGGGGUAAUUGGGGAAAAAGUGUGGUAAAUAAUGGGGGAAAUGGGGAAAAUAGGGGAAAUAAUGGGGAAAAUGGGGGAAAAUGGGGAAAAUUGGGGGAAAAUGGGGGAAAUGAGGAAAAUAAUGGGGGAAAAUGGGGAAAAUGGGGGAAAAAUGGGAAAAUUGGGGAAAAAAUGGGGGAAAAUUGAGGAAAGUAUGGGGAAGUUGGGAAAAUAACGGUGUAAAAUAAGGAAAAAUGGGGAAAAAUCAGGAAAAAUCAGGAAAAAUUCUUGUAAAAUAGGGAGAAAUUGAGGAAAAAACAGGAAAUUGGGGAAAAUAAUGGUGUAAAAUAGGAGAAAAUCAGGAAAAAUCAGGAAAAUAGCUGGAAAUGGGGAUAAAUGGGGGGAAAAUGGGGGAAAAUUGAGGAAAGUAUGGGGAAGUUGGGAAAAGAACGGUGUAAAAUAAGGAAAAAUGGGGAAAAAUCAGGAAAAAAUUGGGAAAAUUGGGGGAAAAUUGAGGAAAUUGGGAAAAUAAUGGCGUAAAAUGGGGUAAAAAAAUCAGGAAAAUUGGGGAAAAUUGGGGGAAAAUUGAGGAAAUUGGGAAAAUGAUGGCAUAAAAUGGGGGAAAAAAUCAGGAAAAUUGGGAAAAUUGGGGGAAAAUUGAGGAAAUUGGGGAAAAUGAUGGCGUAAAAUGGGGGAAAAUCAGGAAAAUUGGGAAAAUUGGGGGAAAAUUGAGGAAAAUGGGGAUAAUAAUGGCGUAAAAUGGGGGAAAAAAUCGGGAAAAUUGGGGAAAAUUGGGGAGAAAAAGUGGAAAAGGGGAAUUCGCUCACCUGUUGGCCUUCCUCCCCCAUGGGGCGCAAUGGAGGAGGAGGAGGAGGAGGAGGAGGAGGAGGAAGGGCAGCCCCAGCCCCACCCCCACCCCCACCCCCAGCCCCACACGGCUGAUUUGGGACUGGCAUCGAUCCCCGGAGGAGAGAAAGCCUGGAAUUUCGGGGCAGCUGUGGGGGGAAAAUGUGGGAGCCCGCUGUGGCAGUCGAUGGCGCUGGGGAAGCCGGGGCUGCAGUCGGUGAUGCAGAGGAAGCUGUUGUUCACCCGACGCGAUCCAUCUGCCAACGACAGCAACGACAGCGGUGACGUCGCGACGUCGUGACGAUGUCGUGACGAUGUCGUGACGACGUCGGGGUCUCACCGUGCGGCGGAAGUGGGAGGCGAAGCCCCGGAAUUGGGGGGACGAAGGGUUCCUCAUUUCCUCCAGGAAGGGACGGUUGGUGACGCGGGCCGACAGCAGGAGGGCGGGACCCAAAUCUUGGGGACGUGAAGGGGGGCGUUGGGGACAUUGGGGACAUUGGGGGC
rnacentral:lncRNA from 1 species